GAUGAACGCUGGCGGCGUGCCUAAUACAUGCGAGUCGAGCGAACGGACGAGAAGCUUGCUUCUCUGAUGUUAGCGGCGGACGGGUGAGUAACACGUGGAUAACCUACCUAUAAGACUGGGAUAACUUCGGGAAACCGGAGCUAAUACCGGAUAAUAUUUUGAACCGCAUGGUUCAAAAGUGAAAGACGGUCUUGCUGUCACUUAUAGAUGGAUCCGCGCUGCAUUAGCUAGUUGGUAAGGUAACGGCUUACCAAGGCAACGAUGCAUAGCCGACCUGAGAGGGUGAUCGGCCACACUGGAACUGAGACACGGUCCAGACUCCUACGGGAGGCAGCAGUAGGGAAUCUUCCGCAAUGGGCGAAAGCCUGACGGAGCAACGCCGCGUGAGUGAUGAAGGUCUUCGGAUCGUAAAACUCUGUUAUUAGGGAAGAACAUAUGUGUAAGUAACUGUGCACAUCGUGACGGGACCUAAUCAGAAAGCCACGGCUAACUACG
rnacentral:rRNA from 1 species